rnacentral:rRNA from 1 species
UACGUAGGUGGCAAGCGUUGUCCGGAAUUACUGGGUGUAAAGGGAGCGUAGGCGGGAAAGCAAGUUGAAUGUUUAAGGUACGGGCUCAACCUGUACAAGCGUUCAAAACUGUUUUUCUUGAGUGGAGUAGAGGUAAGCGGAAUUCCUAGUGUAGCGGUGAAAUGCGUAAAUAUUAGGAGGAACACCAGUGGCGAAGGCGGCUUACUGGGCUUUAACUGACGCUGAGGCUCGAAAGCGUGGGUAGCAAACAG